UAUGCUCUCGACAAGCGACAACGUAUUCCAGUUGCAUGCGUCGUCGUUACUCAUCGAGCAAGAAUAAAAAAAAUUGAAAAUGUUAUUACUUUCAAUUGAACCAUCAGGGCCGUUAAGAUUCAAGUUCAUCUUUAUACGGUAGUAAGCAGUUCACACAAA